rfam:Ixodes scapularis strain Wikel colony gcontig_1108379835242, whole genome shotgun sequence.
GGUGGAGUGGUGUAGAGGUUAGCACACCCGACCGGACAUUGGAAGGCCCAUAGUUCAAAUCCUGGCUCCGCCG